rnacentral:rRNA from 1 species
GCUGCAUGGCUGUCGUCAGCUCGUGUUGUGAAAUGUUGGGUUAAGUCCCGCAACGAGCGCAACCCUUAUCCUUUGUUGCCAGCGAUUAGGUCGGGAACUCAAAGGAGACUGCCAGUGAUAAACUGGAGGAAGGUGGGGAUGACGUCAAGUCAUCAUGGCCCUUACGACCAGGGCUACACACGUGCUACAAUGGCGCAUACAAAGAGAAGCGACCUCGCGAGAGCAAGCGGACCUCAUAAAGUGCGUCGUAGUCCGGAUUGGAGUCUGCAACUCGACUCCAUGAAGUCGGAAUCGCUAGUAAUCGUGGAUCAGAAUGCCACGGUGAAUACGUUCCCGGGCCUUGUACACACCGCCCGUCACACCAUGGGAGUGGGUUGCAAAAGAAGUAGGUAGCUUAACCUUCGGGAGGGCGCUUACCACUUUGUGAUUCAUGACUGGGGUGAAGUCGUAACAAGGUAACCGUAGGGGAACCUGC